rnacentral:rRNA from 1 species
UACAGAGGGGGCAAGCGUUGUUCGGAAUUACUGGGCGUAAAGGGCGCGUAGGCGGCCCGCUAAGUCGAACGUGAAAUCCCCGGGCUCAACCCGGGAACUGCGUCCGAUACUGGUGGGCUCGAAUCCGGGAGAGGGAUGCGGAAUUCCAGGUGUAGCGGUGAAAUGCGUAGAUAUCUGGAGGAACACCGGUGGCGAAGGCGGCAUCCUGGACCGGUAUUGACGCUGAGGCGCGAAAGCCAGGGGGAGCAAACGGGG